rnacentral:lncRNA from 1 species
UAAUUGCUACUUUCACUAUUGCAACUCGGCCUUUAUAUCAUUAUUGGCAUCUAUGCCACAACACCACCAUCAUCGUCGUCACUGUCAUCGUAUCAUCAACAUUCACCGUUGUUAUUAUUGCCAUCACUGUUGUCGCUAUCACCUCCACUCAAUUGCUACAAUUUUCAUCAUCUCCACCAAAUUAUCGGUGCUCGUGCUACCACUACCGAGAUGAUUUAUUUGCCAUUGUUAAUUUAAUAAUUUGUAAAGUUUUGAUUCUAUUUUUAAAAUAAAAUUACAAAGUUCAAGAUAAAAAAUAUGUUUGGUGCUAUUAUUUAUUUUU